rnacentral:rRNA from 1 species
ACUCCUGCGGGAGGCAGCAGUGGGGAAUUUUGGACAAUGGGCGAAAGCCUGAUCCAGCAAUGCCGCGUGAGUGAAGAAGGCCUUCGGGUUGUAAAGCUCUUUUGUCAGGGAAGAAACGGUGAGAGCUAAUAUCUUUUGCUAAUGACGGUACCUGAAGAAUAAGCACCGGCUAACUACGUGCCAGCAGCCGCGGUAAUACGUAGGGUGCAAGCGUUAAUCGGAAUUACUGGGCGUAAAGCGUGCGCAGGCGGUUUUGUAAGUCUGAUGUGAAAUCCCCGGGCUCAACCUGGGAAUUGCAUUGGAGACUGCAAGGCUAGAAUCUGGCAGAGGGGGGUAGAAUUCCACGUGUAGCAGUGAAAUGCGUAGAUAUGUGGAGGAACACCGAUGGCGAAGGCAGCCCCCUGGGUCAAGAUUGACGCUCAUGCACGAAAGCGUGGGGAGCAAACAGGAUUAGAAACCCUAGUAGUCCCAUGA